UACGUAGGGCGCAAGCGUUGUCCGGAAUUAUUGGGCGUAAAGAGCUCGUAGGCGGCUUGUCACGUCGGAUGUGAAAGCCCGGGGCUUAACUCCGGGUCUGCAUUCGAUACGGGCUGGCUAGAGUGUGGUAGGGGAGAUCGGAAUUCCUGGUGUAGCGGUGAAAUGCGUAGAUAUCUGGAGGAACACCGGUGGCGAAGGCGGCGUUCUGGACUGCAACUGACACUGAUAAACGAAAGCCAGGGUAGCAAACGGG
rnacentral:rRNA from 1 species